GCACACUUUUCUUAUAGAAUUUAUUCUCUUUCCUUGGCUGAAUUUCCCCACAUUGUGAGAAGCUUGCCUAAUAAUAUCCCCGCCUUAGUAACAUUAUUUUUGCCCUGGCUAAAUACCAUGACCAAGGCAACUUAUUUAAAAAAAAAAAAAAAAAAAAAAAAAAAAAAAAAAAAAAGCAUUCACUGUGGGGCUCAAGUUUGGAGAGUUAUAGUUCACGGCCACCACGUUAGGGAGCAGGGCACAAGGCUCUGCCUAGUCCAAGCUAUUCUGUCUGGCUUUUAUAAACUAGCAAAGGCCCACCUUAGAUAUGAAAUUAGGCCUGUUUUUCUUCAGAUAGAAUUCAAAUGUUUAGCUUCUACCAACCAUCUACUUGAGAAAUUUAACUAAAUAAAAGUUUCUUUAAAAAACCUUGUCUCCUGGUUAUACUCUAUUUUCCAAAGGUUUGGAAAAAUCAGGGGAAAAAAUCUGAUCGUUUUUGAGAAGUGUAAUUAUGCAAAUUCCCACAUAGAGUGGAGUUAUUAGUAGAGAACCUUAAGUGUCCUUUUAUGCCUACAAUGCUUCCCUUGAGAUGUUUUACAGAAAUACUGUUA
rnacentral:lncRNA from 1 species